rnacentral:rRNA from 1 species
UACGUAGGGUGCGAGCGUUGUCCGGAAUUACUGGGCGUAAAGGGCUCGUAGGUGGCCAACUAAGUCAGACGUGAAAUCCCUCGGCUUAACCGGGGAACUGCGUCUGAUACUGGAUGGCUUGAGUUCGGGAGAGGGAUGCGGAAUUCCAGGUGUAGCGGUGAAAUGCGUAGAUAUCUGGAGGAACACCGGUGGCGAAGGCGGCAUCCUGGACAGUUCCUGACGCUGAGGCGCGAAGGCCAGGGGAGCAAAGCGGGG